rnacentral:rRNA from 1 species
UACGUAGGGUGCGAGCGUUGUCCGGAAUUAUUGGGCGUAAAGAGCUCGUAGGCGGUUUGUCGCGUCUGCUGUGAAAACCUAAGGCUCAACCUUGGGCUUGCAGUGGGUACGGGCAGACUAGAGUGCGGUAGGGGUGACUGGAAUUCCUGGUGUAGCGGUGAAAUGCGCAGAUAUCAGGAGGAACACCGGUGGCGAAGGCAGGUCUCUGGGCAUUAACUGACGCUGAGGAGCGAAAAGCAUGGGGAGCGAACAGG